GGCAGAAUGGCCGAGUGGUCUAUGGCGACGGUCUCAAGCACAUUGAUAUGUACUUUCGCCUCUGAAAAGGAGCGUUCCGUUCACGAAAGUGGCCGGGGUUCGAAUCCCCGUUCUGUCA
rfam:Villosiclava virens strain TV-8b Sca_28, whole genome shotgun sequence.